AGUGAACGCUGGCGGUAGGCCUAACACAUGCAAGUCGAACGGCAGCGCAGUAAGAGCUUGCUCUUACGGGUGGCGAGUGGCGGACGGGUGAGGAAUACAUCGGGAUCUACUUUUUCGUGGGGGAUAACGUAGGGGAACUUACGCUAAUACCGCAUACGACCUACGGGUGAAAGCAGUGGAUCUUCGGACCUUGCGCGGUUGAAUGAGCCGAUGUCGGUUUAGCUAGUUGGCGGGGUAAAGACCCACCAAGGCGACGAUCCGUAGCUGGUCUGAGAGGAUGAUCAGCCACACUGGAACUGAGACACGGUCCAGACUCCUACGGGAGGCAGCAGUGGGGAAUAUUGGACAAUGGGCGCAAGCCUGAUCCAGCCAUACCGCGUGGGUGAAGAAGGCCUUCGGGGUGUAAAGCCCUUUUGUUGGGAAAGAAAAGCAGCAGGUUAAUACCCCGCUGUUCUGACGGUACCCAAAGAAUAAGCACCGGCUAACUUCGUG
rnacentral:rRNA from 1 species